GUAUGUUACAUACAUUAAAGAAAUAAUUCACACACACACACACACACACACACACAAAAUGAAAUUGUUAUUAUUCGAAUUGAAUGAAAGCAGAAAGGAACUGAGACAGUCAAAAUGCAAAUAAUGACCAAGCGCACGUCAGUGGUGUUGGGAAGGGACGUUCCAAACAAAAUCCUAGUCCAAAAAAAGAUACUAAACACAGGACUGGGGCAGAUGCUGAAGAUAACGAAGGCAAAGAAUCCAAAAAAUCCUCCACGUGCAUUAUGUUAUAACAUUGCUUAUCAUACAGAAAAUCAUUAAGACUUACCUCACGGGUAAACACUUGCCAGUCAUAAUCAUUUCAGCGGGUAGAACUUAUUGGAAAAUGCAAAUUUAAAUGCCAUAUUGAUUUUGUUGUAUAAACAGUAUUAUUUUUAUUCUUUAACAUUGUUUAGUUGCGAUAUGUUUUUUGCCCCUCUAUUUAUUACGGUUUUAUGUGACAACUGAUGAUGACUCCGUGUCACUUCAUAAGUUCAGGUUUGAAAAUAAACAUUAGGCAUGGAAAAAAUACGAAUCUAUAUUUUGGCCCAUUUAAAGCAAUACUAAAUGAGUAUUUUGCUAAAUCUGUGAAACAGGGGUUUGAAAUAAACUUAAAACAGCACUAGCAGAUUCAGUCUGUAUACUGUAAUAUGGUGCUGGAUUCACAUUAGCGCACAGGCAGAAAAACUGUUUUACCCAUAGUGCCUUUUGCAUUUUGGACUGUUCACACAGAGAAAGUGUGACAAGUAUGAGCAAAUGGUUCAGUUGAGUGUGUUGUAAAACACAGCUAGACACCAACACCUCUAAAACAGAUGUGAAGAUAAUAAAACGUGAAGCUUCAGCUGCUGAACAAUGUUUAAAGCCUGCCAAGAUCAAAUAAAAGAUUUCAGAUAUUGAACUUAUAAGAAGUUGUGUUUGGUUAGUCAUUACUUGCUUGUAAUCAGUUUUACUCUGUACUCAAGUAUACAUAGAUGUGACAGACCUGAUCACAAGUGAAAAAACAAAAGCAAACGGCCACUGACAUUUUACAGGCAUUUCCACAAACUCUCUAGUAAUUUACGAUUGUUUAGGUAAUAAAAACA
ensembl:lncRNA